CCUACGGGUGGCAGCAGUGGGGAAUAUUGGACAAUGGGCGAAAGCCUGAUCCAGCCAUGCCGCGUGUGUGAAGAAGGCCUUCGGGUUGUAAAGCACUUUCAGUGGGGAAGAAAGCCUUGGGGCUAAUACCCUCGAGGAAGGACAUCACCCACAGAAGAAGCACCGGCUAACUCCGUGCCAGCAGCCGCGGUAAUACGGAGGGUGCGAGCGUUAAUCGGAAUUACUGGGCGUAAAGCGCGCGUAGGCGGUCUGAUAAGCCGGUUGUGAAAGCCCCGGGCUCAACCUGGGAACGGCAUCCGGAACUGUCAGGAUAGAGUGCAGGAGAGGAAGGUAGAAUUCCCGGUGUAGCAGUGAAAUGCGUAGAGAUCGGGAGGAAUACCAGUGGCGAAGGCGGCCUUCUGGACUGACACUGACGCUGAGGUGCGAAAGCGUGGGUAGCAAACAGGAUUAGAUACCCUGGUAGUC
rnacentral:rRNA from 1 species